rnacentral:rRNA from 1 species
ACGGAUACUGCCAGUGACAAACUGGAGGAAGGCGGGGACGACGUCAAGUCAUCAUGGCCCUUACGACCAGGGCUACACACGUGCUACAAUGGUCGGUACAAAGGGUUGCUACCUAGCGAUAGGAUGCUAAUCUCAAAAAGCCGAUCGUAGUCCGGAUUGGAGUCUGCAACUCGACUCCAUGAAGUCGGAAUCGCUAGUAAUCGCGGAUCAGAAUGCCGCGGUGAAUACGUUCCCGGGCCUUGUACACACCGCCCGUCACACCAUGGGAAUUUGUUGCACCAGAAGUAGGUAGUCUAACCGCAAGGAGGACGCUUACCACGGUGUGGCCGAUGACUGGGGU